GCUCAGUAACACGUGGAGAACGUGCCCUUAAGUGGGGGAUAAUCUCGGGAAAUUGAGGAUAAUACCCCAUAGAUCAUGGGGUCUGGAAUGACCCAUGGUUCAAAGUUCCGGCGCUUAAGGAUCGCUCUGCGGCCCAUCAGGUAGUAGUGGGUGUAAAGUACCCCCUAGCCUACGACGGGUAUGGGCCUUGAGAGAGGGAGCCCAGAGUUGGAUUCUGAGACACGAAUCCAGGCCCUACGGGGCGCAGCAGUCGCGAAAACUUCACACUGGGGGCAACCCCGAUGAGGGAAAUCCUAGUGCUAGGACAUUUGUUCUAGCUUUUCUCAAGCGUAGAUAACUUGAGGAAUAAGGGCUGGGUAAGACGGGUGCCAGCCGCCGCGGUAAUACCUGCAGCCCAAGUGGUGGUCGAUUUUAUUGAGUCUAAAACGUUCGUAGCCGGUUUGGUAAAUCUUUGGGUAAAUCGGGAGGCUCAACUUUCCGACUUCCGAAGAGACUGUCAAACUUGGGACCGGGAGAGGCUAGAGGUACUUCUGGGGUAGGGGUAAAAUCCUGUAAUCCUAGAAGGACCACCGGUGGCGAAGGCGUCUAGCUAGAACGGAUCCGACGGUGAGGGACGAAGCCCUGGGUCGCAAACGGGAUUAGAUACCCCGGUAGUCCAGGGUGUAAACGCUGCCGACUUGGUGUUGGAGGCCCUUCGGGGGCAUUCAGUGCCGGAGAGAAGUUGUUAAGUCUGCUACUUGGGGAGUACGUCCGCAAGGAUGAAACUUAAAGGAAUUGGCGGGGGAGCAC
rnacentral:rRNA from 1 species